GGGGCUGGUGAGGCCCGCGGGUCGGGGCUGAGGUCGCCGCGUUGGGCCGGGCGCCGGGUCCCAUGGAGCUGGAGGGGCAGUGGUGGCGAGGACAGCUGGCCGCCAACAUGCACCAGGCGCUUCAGUACAAGGAGCUGAAGUUGCCCUCCUACAAAGGCCAGUCCCCUCAACUAAGUCUCAGGCGGUAUUUUGCUGACUUGAUUGCCAUUGUGAGCAAUCGCUUUACACUCUGCCCAUCUGCCCAACAUCUUGCUGUCUAUUUGCUGGACUUGUUUAUGGAUCGCUAUGACAUCUCUAUCCAACAGCUCUAUCUAGUUGCGCUUUCCUGUCUGCUUCUAGCAAGUAAGUUUGAAGAGAAGGAAGACAGCGUGCCUAAGCUGGAGCAGCUCAACAGCCUGGGCUGCAUGACCAACAUGAAUCUCGUAUUAACAAAACAAAACUUGCUACACAUGGAACUCUUACUAUUAGAAACCUUCCAGUGGAACCUCUGCCUGCCGACAGCUGCCCAUUUCAUCAAGUAUUAUCUCUCUGAAGCUGUACAUGAAAUGGAUCUUCAUGAUGGCUGGCCCAUGAUUUGCUUGGAAAAAACUAAACUCUACAUGGCCAAGUAUGCAGAUUAUUUCCUGGAAGUGUCUUUGCAAGAUUAUGCCUUUCUAAAUUAUGCACCUUCUUUAGUAGCUGCUGCAUGUGUUGCUUCUUUGAGGAUUAUACUUCGUCUUUCUCCAACGUGGCCUACAAGACUACACCGUCUUACUGCUUAUUCCUGGGAUUUCUUAGUGCAGUGUAUUGAACGCCUGUUGAUUGCUCAUGAUAAUGAUGUGAAAGAAGCAAACAAGCAGAGAGGACAGGCAGGAGCCCAGUCAGCACAGCUCAGUGUGUUCCAAGUGGCCUCCCAGCCCUCACGGCCAGCUCACUUUCAGCAACCUCAGUAUCUCCAUCAGACAUAGCAGACCUCACUGCAGUAUCGCCAUCCCACGUCGGAACAACCAAGCUGUCAGCAGAUUGUAUCUACCACACACACCUCAUCUUACACACUACAGAUGUGUCCAACUGGCUUCCAAACUAGUGUUCAGGGCCUUGGGCACAUGCAGACUGGUGUAGGGAUGUCACUGGCAAUACCAGUAGAAGUUAAACCCUGUCUGAGUGUUUCUUACAAUCGGAGUUAUCAGAUAAAUGAACAUUACCCUUGUAUCACUCCCUGCUUUGAAAGGUGAUGAUGUGUGAAGGGAGUGACUGAUCCAGGCUGCCUUGGAACUUGAAGCUCUGGGUAAGCUUUUUGUGAACUUCUCUUCGGAAGGAAGGGGAUCAGGUGGCAUCAGGACUCUUGGGUGCCAGCACCAGCAAGACUAAAAAUCCCUUUCGAAGCA